UACAGAGGUGGCAAGCGUUGUUCGGAAUUACUGGGCGUAAAGGGCGCGUAGGCGGCCUUCUAAGUCAGACGUGAAAUCCCCAGGCUUAACUUGGGAACUGCGUCUGAUACUGGGAGGCUUGAGUGCGGGAGAGGGAUGUGGAAUUCCAGGUGUAGCGGUGAAAUGCGUAGAUAUCAAGAGGAACACCUGAGGUGAAGACGGGUUGCUGGGCCAACACUGACGCUGAGGCGCGAAAGCCAGGGGAGCAAACGGG
rnacentral:rRNA from 1 species